rfam:Ictidomys tridecemlineatus contig037326, whole genome shotgun sequence.
GGGGUUGCGGCUCAGCGGUAGAGCAUUCGCCUCUCACGUGUGAGACCCUGGGUUCGAUCCUCAGCACCCAUA